ACGCUCGACACCUACGGUAGGCAGCAGUGGGGAAUAUUGCACAAUGGGGGAAACCCUGAUGCAGCGACGCCGCGUGGAGGAAGAAGGUCUUCGGAUUGUAAACUCCUGUUGUUGGGGAAAAAGAGGAUGGUACCCAACAAGGAAGUGACGGCUAACUACGUGCAAGCAGCCGCGGUAAUCUGAGCGGGCUGGCAAGGC
rnacentral:rRNA from 1 species